GCAUGGGGCACAGGGACGUGGGUUUGUCCCUCAGGUUUGGUGAGGUGACAGGGCUGGGCAGACAAGGGGAGCCUUUCUGAGGGGCACGGGGCACAGGGAUGUGGCUUUGCCCCUCAGGUUUGGUGAGGUGACAGGGCAGAGCAGACACGGGGAGCCUUUCUGAGGGGCAUGGGGCACAGGGACGUGGGUUUGUCCCUCAGGUUUGGUGAGGUGACAGGGCUGGGCAGACAAGGGGAGCCUUUCUGAGGGGCACGGGGCACAGGGAUGUGGGUUUGUCCCUCAGGUUUGGUGAGGUGACAGGGGGGGCAGCCUCGCUGCUGGCUCAGCUGGAAACUCAAACUUCCCGAUUCUGUGGGGAGACGGACAGAGACAGUGCUGAAGGCAAUCUUGCCUCCAAUAUUUUGCAGCUGUGUUAAUUACCAAAGAGUAAGAACAGCCUGGCCCUCACGCUGUGGGUGUGAUAAAGAUGAGUUUGCUGGUGGAGAGGCAGGGGGGUCUGCUGGCCCUGCUGUGAGGAGGGGACAGGAGGGUGUGAGAGGGACAGGAAGGGUCAGAUGUGUACAGGGGACAGACAGGGUUAGGUGGCCGUGCUGGGGACAGGAAGGGUCAGAUGUUGUACAGGGGACAGACAGGGUUAGGUGGCCGUGCUGGGGACAGGAAGGGUCAGAUGUUGUACAGGGACAGACAGGGUUAGGUGGCCGUGCUGGGGACAGGAAGGGUCAGAUGUUGUACAGGGGACAGACAGGGUUAGGUGGCCGUGCUGGGGACAGGAAAGAGCAAGCCAGAACUGCAGAAGAAAGAGAAGGAGAGAAAGAGCCAGAGCUGUGUGGAGCUGCCCAUGGGAGGCUGCAGAGAAAAGGAGAUGCACAUUCUGCUUGCCAACAUCAGCAGGUCAGCACAGGAGCGUGCAACAAGCAAGGAAUGAGCACAAAGAGAUCCAGUGAGGCAGCAGUGCAAAGCAUCUUUGGAGUUACCAGAGACCACAGCUAUGUGCAAGGAUCCUCAUCAGCAAGUUUUAAAUGUAAAUGGAGCUGUGCAAUUUGUCCCUUCAAAGCAGCUUCAGACUCUGUGUUAUUGAGACAGCUGUCACAUUUUGGAAAGUGAGGAGAAGAGCUACAAGUAUUGUUUGUGGGCCCAUACAGAAAGGUGACAGAAUAGACAGCUUUGUCUAUGGUACCUCCAUGAUACCACGUGGAAAUGGAGCCUUGCAGACAGAACAGACAUAAACCACAUCAAGUGAUUAUCCUGCAGCACUUCAAGACUCAGUUUGCAUCAUUUUGAGACAGAAAGCGUGGCUACAUCCAUAUUCUCUCUCCUGAAAAGACCAGUGGUUCAGUUCCUGUGCAGUUAUUCCCUACUCCAGUGCUGUGAGUCAGGCUGGAGACUGCACAAAACUUUUCCUCACAUUUCUGAUGGAGACAGUGCUUGUCUGGAGAAAUCUGCAGAGUCUGUGUCUGAUAAAGAAGUGGCAGUUCCACAAGAACAGCAGCAGCCACUUUGAGGACAUUCCCUACUUAAUUUUCUGACACUAAUGUGAGCUGUGGCUUGAAAAGUUGCAUUAAGUUAGUGCCCUGUACAAAACAAUCCCA